ACUUCCCCCUCUCCAUCCCUCCUUGCUGGCCCUCCUCCCCUUCCCUCCCCUCCGCCCCCUUCCCCGUAGGCAGCUCGCCCGCCAGUCCGCCCGCACCGCCUCCUUCCCAACCCCUAGCGCUCCGGCUGGGUCUCUCCCCCGCCCCCCAGGCUCCCCCGGUCGCUCUCCUCCGGCGGUCGCCCGCGCUCGGUGGAUGUGGCUGGCAGCUGCCGCCCCCUCCCUCGCUCGCCGCCUGCUCUUCCUCGGCCCUCCGCCUCCUCCCCUCCUCCUUCUCGUCUUCAGCCGCUCCUCUCGCCGCCGCCUCCACAGCCUGGGCCUCGCCGCGAUGCCGGAGAAGAGGCCCUUCGAGCGGCUGCCUGCCGAUGUCUCCCCCAUCAACUGCAGCCUUUGCCUCAAGCCCGACUUGCUGGACUUCACCUUCGAGGGCAAGCUGGAGGCCGCCGCCCAGGUGAGGCAGGCGACUAAUCAGAUUGUGAUGAAUUGUGCUGAUAUUGAUAUUAUUACAGCUUCAUAUGCACCAGAAGGAGAUGAAGAAAUACAUGCUACAGGAUUUAACUAUCAGAAUGAAGAUGAAAAAGUCACCUUGUCUUUCCCUAGUACUCUGCAAACAGGUACAGGAACCUUAAAGAUAGAUUUUGUUGGAGAGCUGAAUGACAAAAUGAAAGGUUUCUAUAGAAGCUACUGAUGCCCGAAGGGCUUUUCCUUGCUGGGAUGAGCCUGCUAUCAAAGCAACUUUUGAUAUCUCAUUGGUUGUUCCUAAAGACAGAGUAGCUUUAUCAAACAUGAAUGUAAUUGACCGGAAACCAUACCCUGAUGAUGAAAAUUUAGUGGAAGUGAAGUUUGCCCGCACACCUGUUACAUCUACAUAUCUGGUGGCAUUUGUUGUGGGUGAAUAUGACUUUGUAGAAACAAGGUCAAAAGAUGGUGUGUGUGUCUGUGUUUACACUCCUGUUGGCAAAGCAGAACAAGGAAAAUUUGCAUUAGAGGUAAAUGUACUUGAAGAGGAUUGUUCCAGCAGUCCAUAACUCCAGGUUGCUGCUAAAACCUUGCCUUUUUAUAAGGACUACUUCAAUGUUCCUUAUCCUCUACCUAAAAUUGAUCUCAUUGCUAUUGCAGACUUUGCAGCUGGUGCCAUGGAGAACUGGGACCUUGUUACUUAUAGGGAGACUGCAUUGCUUAUUGAUCCAAAAAAUUCCUGUUCUUCAUCCCGCCAGUGGGUUGCUCUGGUUGUGGGACAUGAACUUGCCCAUCAAUGGUUUGGAAAUCUUGUUACUAUGGAAUGGUGGACUCAUCUUUGGUUAAAUGAAGGUUUUGCAUCCUGGAUUGAAUAUCUGUGUGUAGACCACUGCUUCCCAGAGUAUGAUAUUUGGACUCAGUUUGUUUCUGCUGAUUACACCCGUGCCCAGGAGCUUGACGCCUUAGAUAACAGCCAUCCUAUUGAAGUCAGUGUGGGCCAUCCAUCUGAGGUUGAUGAGAUAUUUGAUGCUAUAUCAUAUAGCAAAGGUGCAUCUGUCAUCCGAAUGCUGCAUGACUACAUUGGGGAUAAGGACUUUAAGAAAGGAAUGAACAUGUAUUUAACCAAGUUCCAACAAAAGAAUGCUGCCGCAGGUAAUCUUUAAUAGCUUGAGAUAGAAAUGGAGAGAAAGUAUUGUCACUCUAUCCAGGCUGGGACAUUUUAUUUUUGUUCUGAAUACUUAACUCAAGGUCAGGAUCCAUGUAAUAAAUAAAUUAGCCUUAUUUGAA
ensembl:lncRNA NPEPPSP1 NPEPPS pseudogene 1